AUCCUUCUGUGGUUCAUAAGCACGAGUAGGUUUUCACACCAUUACAAGAUGUGCCUCCCUCAAACCUUGUUAUGAAUUGGCACUGUACCCAUCUGAUG
ensembl:snoRNA